rnacentral:rRNA from 1 species
UCGGGAAUAUUGCGCAAUGGAGGAAACUCUGACGCAGUGACGCCGCGUGCAGGAAGAAGGUUUUCGGAUUGUAAACUGCUUUAGACAGGGAAGAAACAAGACAGUACCUGUAGAAUAAGCUCCGGCUAACUACGUGCCAGCAGCCGCGGUAAUACGUAGGGAGCAAGCGUUAUCCGGAUUUAUUGGGUGUAAAGGGUGCGUAGACGGGAAAACAAGUUAGUUGUGAAAUCCCUCGGCUUAACUGAGGAACUGCAACUAAAACUAUUUUUCUUGAGUGUUGGAGAGGAAAGUGGAAUUCCUAGU